GAUGAAGAACGCAGCGAAAUGCGAUAAGUAAUGUGAAUUGCAGAAUUCAGUGAAUCAUCGAAUCUUUGAACGCACAUUGCGCCCGCCAGUAUUCUGGCGAGCAUGCCUGUUCGAGCGUCAUUUCAACCAUCAAGCCCCAGGCUUGUGUUGGAGCCCUGCGGCUGCCGCAGCCUCCCAAAACCAGUGGCGGGCUCGCUAUCACACCGAGUGCAGUAGUUUACUCUUCGCUCAGGGCGUGUGGCGGGUGCUAGCCGUGAAACCCCCAACUUCUCAAGGUUGACCUCGGAUCAGGUAGGAAUACCCGCUGAACUUAAGCAUAUCAAUAAGCGGGGGA
rnacentral:misc_RNA from 1 species